UAAUACGUAGGGUGCAAGCGUUAAUCGGAAUUACUGGGCGUAAAGCGUGCGCAGGCGGUUUCGUAAGCUUGAUGUGAAAUCCCCGGGCUCAACCUGGGAACUGCAUUGAGCACUGCGAGACUAGAAUACGGCAGAGGGGGGUGGAAUUCCACGUGUAGCAGUGAAAUGCGUAGAGAUGUGGAGGAACACCGAUGGCGAAGGCAGCCCCCUGGGCCUGUAUUGACGCUCAUGCACGAAAGCGUGGGGAGCAAACAGGAUUAGAUACCCUGGUAGUCCACGCCCUAAACGAUGUCAACUGGUUGUUGGAAGAGUGAUCUUUCAGUAACGAAGCUAACGCGAGAAGUUGACCGCCUGGGGAGUACGGCCGCAAGGUUAAAACUCAAAGAAAUUGACGGGGACCCGCACAAGCGGUGGAUGAUGUGGAUUAAUUCGAUGCAACGCGAAAAAACCUUACCUACCCUUGACAUGGUCGGAAUCCUGAAGAGAUUUGGGAGUGCUCGAAAGAGAGCCGA
rnacentral:rRNA from 1 species